AAUCAGUUGUACCUCACCCAAUCAUCAUCAGAGAAGCUUCUUGCAGUAUAUGAAAGUUAACACAGAGACCCAUAACUGGACAACAUGCAAGUGAGUGAGAGACGUUGAAAUACUCAGUCCUAAAUGAGAUGACUUCAUCAAACCCCUCCACUCAGGGAUCAGGACGCUAUGCAGAAGAGGAGGCAGGAAGACUGCAAGAGUCAGAGGGAAUGGAUGACACCAAGGAAAUAGUGACUUCCCCCAUUAUUUAAUGGCUCUACUUGGAAUUAUUCCAUUUAUGUAUAUAUUUUAAGAUGCUUCUACAGUAGUAGGUUUCCAUAUGACCCCUCAAAUGGCUCUUAGUGUUUGUUGUCCCUUCCAGUAUUCCCUCCCUUAUUUACCUUUCCCCUCCCCCUCCUCCCUGUUUACUCUUCCCACUCCAGCCUUUCCCCUGUGUGAAUCUCACUCAGAAAGGGAAACAAAACAGUUAUCAGAGGUGGAUGGGGAGAGGGUACUGGCUGGGAGAGGGGGUGAAAAGGGAUGUGAGGGUGGCACAGGGUGUGGGGAUCAGGGGUUGGGAGAGGGCUGGGAGUGAGAAUGGAAAUUGGUGGAGGGCAUCUCUGGGAUUAGUUUGAG
rnacentral:lncRNA from 1 species